CUUCGGGUAAUGAGGAUGGCGGACGGGUGAGUAACGCGUAAGGAACUUGCCUCUUGGACUGGGACAACUGUUGGAAACGACAGCUAAUACCGGAUAUUAUGAGAUUCUCGCAUGAGAAACUUAUGAAAGCUAUAUGCGCCAAGAGAGAGCCUUGCGUUCCAUUAGCUAGUUGGUGGGGUAAUGGCCCACCAAGGCGACGAUGGAUAGCCGGCCUGAGAGGGUGAACGGCCACAAGGGGACUGAGACACGGCCCUUACUCCUACGGGAGGCAGCAGUGGGGAAUAUUGGACAAUGGGCCACAAGCCUGAUCCAGCAAUUCUGUGUGCACGAUGAAGGUCUUCGGAUUGUAAAGUGCUUUCAGUUGGGAAGAAGAAAGUGACGGUACCAACAGAAGAAGCGACGGCUAAAUACGUGCCAGCGGCCGCGGUAAUACGUAUGUCGCAAGCGUUAUCCGGAUUUAUUGGGCGUAAAGCGCGUCUAGGCGGAAAAAUAAGUCUGAUGUUAAAAUGCGGGGCUCAACUCCGUAUUGCGUUGGAAACUGUUUUUCUAGAGUACUGGAGAGGUGGGCGGAACUACAAGUGUAGAGGUGAAAUUCGUAGAUAUUUGUAGGAAUGCCGAUGGAGAAGUCAGCUCACUGGACAGAUACUGACGCUGAAGCGCG
rnacentral:rRNA from 1 species